UACAGGGGGGGCAAGCGUUGUUCGGAAUUACUGGGCGUAAAGGGCUCGUAGGCGGCCAACUAAGUCCGACGUGAAAUCCCAAAGCUUAACUUUGGAACUGCGUCGGAUACUGGAUGGCUUGAAUUCGGGAGAGGGAUGCAGAAUUCCAGGUGUAGCGGUGAAAUGCGUAGAUAUCUGGAGGAAUACCGGUGGCGAAGGCGGCAUCCUGGACCGACACUGACGCUGAGGAGCGAAAGCUAGGGGAGCAAACGGG
rnacentral:rRNA from 1 species